UGUUUAGCAACUCCUAUCCCUACCUCCUCGUGGCACCGGCUGGGCUGCGAGGGAAGAUCAGGUAAUCAGCCCCAGAGGAAACUUAGGCCGUAGCCUGAUAGGGAAGA
rnacentral:ribozyme from 1 species